GAUGAAGAACGCAGCGAAAUGCGAUAAGUAAUGCGAAUUGCAGAAUUUCCGUGAGUCAUCGAAUCUUUGAACGCACAUUGCGCCCCCUGGUAUUCCGGGGGGCAUGCCUGUCCGAGCGUCAUUGCUGCCCUCAAGCACGGCUUGUGUGUUGGGCCCCGUCCCCCGAUCCCGGGGGACGGGCCCGAAAGGCAGCGGCGGCACCGCGUCCGGUCCUCGAGCGUAUGGGGCUUUGUCACCCGCUCUGUAGGCCCGGCCGGCGCUUGCCGAUCAACCCAAAUUUUUAUCCAGGUUGACCUCGGAUCAGGUAGGGAUACCCGCUGAACUUAAGCAUAUCAAUAAGCGGAGGA
rnacentral:misc_RNA from 1 species